rnacentral:lncRNA from 1 species
GCGCCGCCCAAACUCAGGCCCUGUGACAGCGACUGUGGCGGUCUGGAAAGCGUGGGCCUCGGUCAUUGGGCACGAGCGGUCACGUGACAGCGGGUUCCUCCAGGCCAGCGCUGGUGGUUGAGUGAUGUAAUCACGUGGGGUCUGAAGUCUUCGUGGGUGUAGGUUUCUUCGUUAUGCUGACGACAGGCAGUGCCCGAACUCUAGGCUGGGAGUUGUGCCAUGCUGCUGCUUUCGUGGGCUGACCAGAAAAGGGUAGAAGGAUUGACGUUUACGAAGUUUUUGAAUCAGGAGGCAAGGUCGCCUUGUGCCCCCAAAAGGAUAGAAAAAGGCCUGGCAAACUGGAGAAUCGCGUCCUUACGGUAUCCUGUGUUUUCCAGUUGAAAGCUUGUGAAAAUUCGCUUUAUCCUUGAAGUUCAGAAUUUUCACCAGGAUGUAUGAAGACCCUGUCCUCGAUGGAUCAGCUGGCACCACCCAGAUGGAUAAACUGGCUCAUCUGAUCUUGUGGCCCCCAUCCAGGAAGUGACUCAGUGUAAGAAGACAGCUUCAACUCCCUAUGAUUUCAUCUCUGACCAAUCAGCACUCUCGGCUCACUGGCUUCCUCCAACCCACCAAUUUGUUCUUUUUUUUUUUGAGACCAAGUCUCACCUGUCGCCCAGGCUGGAGUGCAGUGGCGUGAUCUCUGCUCACAGCAACCUCCGCCUCCUAGGUUCAAGCAAUUCUCCUGCCCCAGCCUCCCGAGUAGCUGGGAUUACAGGUGUGCGACUCCAUGCCCGGCUAACUUUUGCAUUUUUAGUAGAGACAGGGUUUCACCAUGUUGGUCAGGCUGGUCUCAAACUUCUGACCUCGUGACCCACCCGCCUCGGCCUCCCAAAGUGCUGGGAUUACAGGCAUGGGCCACUGCGCCCAGCCAAUUUGUUCUUAAAAACUCUGAUCCCUGAAUGCUUAGGGAGACUGAUUUGAGCAGUAAUAAAACUCUGGUCUCCCACACAGCCGGCUCUGUGUGAAUUACUCUCUCUCUAUGGCAAUUCCCAUCUUGAUAGAUUGGCUCUGUCUAGGCAGCGGGCAAGGUGAACCCAUUGGGCGGUUAUAAAAGUAUGGAGGUUUAUUGCAAAGAGAAAAUUACAUAUUCAAGAAAGGGGAGUGUGAACAUACUCGAGAGUGACACAGCCCGAUUUGAGGUUUUUAUCUUUACGGAUUUCUUUAACCAAGGAAUGGAAUAUUCAUGAAGAAUCCUGGAAAAAGGUGGAGAUUUCUCAGAAAUGUGGUGCCAUCCAUUUUUUAACCAAAUAUGGGACUGUCAUGGCACUGGUGGGUGUGUGAUUUAGUACGUUAAUAAGCAUAUAAUUAGGUCCUAGGUGAAACCUAGGUCAAAUCCAGCGCCAUGUUGUGUCCUGUCAGCCUUAGCGAGUUUGGCCCACACCCCGGUUUUUAGAAUCUUAUCAGCUUCUACCUUAUGUAGCUAUUUUAACAGAUUUUUUCCUUGUUAGUUACGUGAAACUGCUGCCUGGAAUUAUUAAAUUUUUCUGCAACCACCUUGUAUUAUUCCUGUCUCAUUUUCCCC